GGACCCGCACAAGUAGUGGAGCAUGUGGUUUAAUUCGAAGAUACGCGCAGAACCUUACCAACACUUGACAUGUUCGUCGCGACUUUAAGAGAUUAAAGUUUUCGGUUCGGCCGGACGAAACACAGGUGCUGCAUGGCUGUCGUCAGCUCGUGUCGUGAGAUGUUGGUUAAGUCCCGCAACGAGCGCAACCCUCACUUUUAGUUGCCAUCAUUUAGUUGGGCACUCUGAAAGAACUGCCAGUGAUAAGCUGGAGGAAGGUGGGGACGACGUCAAGUCAUCACGGCCCUUACGUCCUGGGCCACACACGUGCUACAAUGGUUGGUACAGAGGGCAGCUACCUAGUGAUAGGAUGCA
rnacentral:rRNA from 1 species